GACAGAGGCCCCAAGCGUUAGGCGGAAUCACUGGGCUUAAAGCGUGUGUAGGCGGAUCGUUAAGUGUCUUGUGAAAUCCCUCGGCUCACCCGUGGAACUGCUGGGCAUACUGGCGAUCUUGGGCCAACUAGGGGCAGUCGGAACAAGCGGUGGAGCGGUGAAAUGCGUAGAUAUCGCUUGGAACGCCGAAGGUGAAAACAGACUGCUGGGGUUGCGCCGACGCUGAGACACGAAAGCCAGGGGAGCGAACAGG
rnacentral:rRNA from 1 species